rnacentral:rRNA from 1 species
UACGAAGGGGGCUAGCGUUGCUCGGAAUUACUGGGCGUAAAGCGCACGUAGGCGGCUUCUUAAGUCGGUGGUGAAAUCCUGGAGCUCAACUCCAGAACUGCCUUCGAUACUGGGGAGCUCGAGUCCGGGAGAGGUGAGUGGAACUGCGAGUGUAGAGGUGAAAUUCGUAGAUAUUCGCAAGAACACCAGUGGCGAAGGCGGCUCACUGGCCCGGUACUGACGCUGAGGUGCGAAAGCGUGGGGAGCAAGCAGG